AGUGAACGCUGGCGGUAGGCCUAACACAUGCAAGUCGAACGGCAGCACAGUAAUACCUUUCUCUUUCCGGUUGCGAGUCGCGGACGUGUGACGAAUAUAUCGCAUUCUAUUUUUUCGUGGGUCAUCACGUAGGUAAACUUACGCUAAUACCGCAUACUACCUACCUCUGAAAGCAGCGCAUCUUCGGCCCUUGCGCGAUUGAAUGAGCCGAUGUCGGAUUAGCUAGUUGGCGGGGUAAAGGCCCACCAAGGCGACGAUCCUUAGAUGGUCUGAGAGGAUGAUCAGCCACACUGGAACUGAGAAACGGUCCAGAGUCCUACGGGAGGCAGCAGUGGGGAAUAUUGGACAAUGGGCGGAAGCCUGAUGCAGCAAUAGCGAGUGAGUGAAGAAGGCCUUGGGGUUGUAAAGAAAUUUUGUUGGGGAAGAAAAGAAGGAAGUUAAUACCGUGAUGAUAUGACGGUACCCAAAGAAAAAGCACCGGCUAACUUCGUG
rnacentral:rRNA from 1 species